UGUUAAUUAGAUUAUUUUAUAUGUCUAUUCAUUAAACAGAUACUUGCUAAGUGUGCCCAGAAUGUGCAAGUCAGUGUGGUAGGUUCUUUCAGGGAUACAGAAAUAAACUGGAUGAAACCAAAGGACUCACAGUCUCUUCUAGGGAAAAAGAAAAAGAUAAAGAUGAAUAGAUGCAAAUAUUGCCCUCCAGUUCUGAGAGUAUGUACCAGCCACUGAGUUCAUGAAGACUGCCUCUGUUCUAUCCUUGAGGUGGGGGGUACUAUUUUUCAGUUGAUAUUGAUGGUUCUUUGAUUAUUCA